AUGAACGCUGGCGGCGUGCCUAAUACAUGCAAGUCGAGCGAACAGACGAGGAGCUUGCUCCUCUGACGUUAGCGGCGGACGGGUGAGUAACACGUGGAUAACCCACCUAUAAUACUGGGCUAACUUCGGGAAACCGGAGCUAAUACCGGAUAAUAUAUUGAACCGCAUGGUUCAAUAGUGAAAGACGGUUUUGCUGUCACUUAUAGAUGGAUCCGCGCCGCAUUAGCUAGUUGGUAAGGUAACGGCUUACCAAGGCAACGAUGCGUAGCCGACCUGAGAGGGUGAUCGGCCACACUGGAACUGAGACACGGUCCAGACUCCUACGGGAGGCAGCAGUAGGGAAUCUUCCGCAAUGGGCGAAAGCCUGACGGAGCAACGCCGCGUGAGUGAUGAAGGUCUUCGGAUCGUAAAACUCUGUUAUUAGGGAAGAACAAAUGUGUAAGUAACUAUGCACGUCUUGACGGUACCUAAUCAGAAAGCCACGGCUAACUACGUG
rnacentral:rRNA from 1 species